AAUAACGGAGGAAAGAACCUAACAAGGAUUCCCCUAGUAACUGCGAGUGAAGCGGGAAAAGCUCAAAUUUAAAAUCUGGCGGUCUCUGGCCGUCCGAGUUGUAAUCUAGAGAAGUGCUGCCCGCGCUGGACCGUGUACAAGUCUCCUGGAAUGGAGCGUCAUAGAGGGUGAGAAUCCCGUCUCUGACACGGACUACCAGGGCUUUGUGGUACGCUCUCAAAGAGUCGAGUUGUUUGGGAAUGCAGCUCAAAAUGGGUGGUAAAUUCCAUCUAAAGCUAAAUAUUGGCGAGAGACCGAUAGCGAACAAGUACCGUGAGGGAAAGAUGAAAAGAACUUUGGAAAGAGAGUUAAACAGUACGUGAAAUUGCUGAAAGGGAAACGCUUGAAGUCAGUCGCGUUGUCCGGGGAUCAGCCUCGCUUUUGCGUGGUGUACUUUCCGGUUGACGGGUCAGCAUCAAUUUUGACCGCUGGAAAAAGGCUUGAGGAAUGUAGCAGCAUUUGCUGUGUUAUAGCUUCUGGUCACAUACAGCGGUUGGGAUUGAGGAACUCAGCACGCCGCAAGGCCGGGUUUCGACCACGUUCGUGCUUAGGAUGCUGGCAUAAUGGCUUUAAGCGACCCGUCUUGAAACACGGACCAAGGAGUCUAACAUGCCUGCGAGUGUUUGGGUGGAAAACCCGAGCGCGUAAUGAAAGUGAAAGUUGAGAUCCCUGUCGUGGGGAGCAUCGACGCCCGGACCAGAACUUUUGGGACGGAUCCGCGGUAGAGCAUGUAUGUUGGGACCCGAAAGAUGGUGAACUAUGCCUGAAUAGGGUGAAGCCAGAGGAAACUCUGGUGGAGGCUCGUAGCGAUUCUGACGUGCAAAUCGAUCGUCAAAUUUGGGUAUAGGGGCGAAAGACUAAUCGAACCAUCUAGUAACUGGUCC
rnacentral:rRNA from 1 species